GCUAUUGGGGUCCGAUUUAGCCAUGCUAGUUGCACGAGUUUAGACUCGUGGCGAAAAGCUCAGUAACACGUGGUCAAACUACCCUACGAAGACCCAUAACCUCGGGAAACUGAGGCUAAUAGGUCAUAGGUGAGUUACGCUGGAAUGCCAACUCUCCCAAACGCUCAGGCGUCGUAGGAUGUGGCUGCGGCCGAUUAGGUAGACGGUGGGGUAACGGCCCACCGUGCCGAUAAUCGGUACGGGUUGUGAGAGCAAGAGCCCGGAGACGGAAUCUGAGACAAGAUUCCGGGCCCUACGGGGCGCAGCAGGCGCGAAACCUUUACACUGCACGCAAGUGCGAUAAGGGGACCCCAAGUGCGAGGGCAUAUAGUCCUCGCUUUUUCCGACCGUAAGGUGGUCGGCGAAUAAGGGCUGGGCAAGACCGGUGCCAGCCGCCGCGGUAAUACCGGCAGCCCAAGUGAUGACCGAUAUUAUUGGGCCUAAAGCGUCCGU
rnacentral:rRNA from 1 species